GAAGAAUCAACCGGCGACUGUGGCGAGCCUCGCAGCGGAUGAAGUUAACUUCCAAUGGACGGGACAAAUUCAGAAGGCAGUGGUGUUGCAUCUUUUAUAUGCAUGGUUGUCCUGAAGUCAUUCUGGAACAGGGGUUGUGUUCAGGUGCGUGACAACUGACAACAUUGAGAAGACCCAGGAGCGGGAGAAGGGCAGCCUGAUGAAAGAAGGCGACAGUGUUCUGUGGUCACACCUGAGAUGAUGGUCCUGAAGAGGAACGAGAGGAGAUACUGGGCAUAUAAAUACAGGCACUGGUCAUCACAGUGGAGGACAAUCAUGAAAAGGUUGAGGACUUCACUGUGCCCAUCCCUGAAGUCCCUCCACUCGGUGCAGCAGCUCUUUCCACCAUACUGCCAUGCUCUGGGUUGUCCCUGCCACCAUCCACCUUUUGGGUCAUCCGUGCCGCCAGCCAUCACCGUGCCUGCAGCGCCUGGGUCAUCCGUGCCACUCCCCACCAUGCUGCCAGUCAUCACUGUGCCUGCAGCACCUGGGCCAUCCCUGCCACCAUCCACCGUGCCUUCAACGUCCACAGCACCUCCGGUAUCUGUGAGCCAGUUUGCAGCUCUACUGGCCUCUCCAGUAUACAGUAUGCUGUAAUUGCUAAUGGUUUCUCUGAGUGGCCUGACCGGUUAAUUGUCCCGUAUCCCAACUAUUUACCACUAAACAAGUGAUUUUGUAAUAAGUAGGAGAUCUUUGCAAUGUUAUCAGUAUGGUUGGACUCUGUUUCACUGCUGUAUGUCUUCCUCAAAGAGUAAAACGAAUUCUGAGUAUUCUUGGAUUUAGUCUUUGAAAAGUAGAGCAGCCCGUUUGUUUGAAACUGUUGUCCUGGACACCAAAUAGACUGGAACUGAUAUCCUUUUUUAAAAGAAACUGGUAUCCUUUUUAUGUGUGCAGUUUAAUGGUAGAACAGUAUACACUGAUGUGCCUUUAUCAGUAACAAAGUGAAAAUGGAACAAAAUUUGACUAUUUCUGUCAAAAACUGCUACAAAUUCUACAUAUUGUUUAUAUAAACCUAGUUCUGGAGGAAGUCUGAGAGUUAUUGACAGUUGCCAUGUCUAGCUUCCGCCUUCGCGUAAAUUUAAAUCCCUCCUUCCCUCCUUCCCCUGUCAUGCGCAAAGGCUAUCCUAAUUGUCCCAGCACCUCCCCCUACUCCCUCAUCUCACUGGAUCACCCAGCUACAUGUCCCCUACACUUAUGGAGUGGAAGCGGAUCUCGUGCCGCAUGAUCUCCGCAGGGUCCCAGGACAGAGGCCAGCUAACAUCGAAUUAUGCCUAUUGACUAUGGUUACCAUACUCCAGGGCAAACUCGUGAAUUAAAUGGUCCUGUUGUUUAUGUUUGUUUACUUUUUGUGAGAUAAACUGAAACAUUGUGUAUCUGCUCAUUUUUCACAUUUUCCUGUUGGCGA